rnacentral:rRNA from 1 species
UAGGGAAUCUUCGGCAAUGGGGGGAACCCUGACCGAGCAACGCCGCGUGAGUGAAGAAGGUUUUCGGAUCGUAAAGCUCUGUUGUUAAGGAAGAACGAGUGUGAGAAUGGAAAGUUCAUACUGUGACGGUACUUAACCAGAAAGGGACGGCUAACUACGUGCCAGCAGCCGCGGUAAUACGUAGGUGGCAAGCGUUAUCCGGAAUUAUUGGGCGUAAAGCGCGCGUAGGCGGUUUUUUAAGUCUGAUGUGAAAGCCCACGGCUCAACCGUGGAGGGUCAUUGGAAACUGGAAAACUUGAGUGCAGAAGAGGAAAGUGGAAUUCCAUGUGUAGCGGUGAAAUGCGCAGAGAUAUGGAGGAACACCAGUGGCGAAGGCGACUUUCUGGUCUGUAACUGACGCGGAUGUGCGAAAGCGUGGGGAUCAAACAGG